UUAACAUAAAAAGCUACAAUUAAUGUCUCAUCACCCACUUCCCUCCACUAACUGUCCAAAAUACACCAAAGAGCACAUCUCCUUUAAGAUACUUCUCUCCCCUUUGCAUAAAUCCCAAACUCAACACACACACACACACACACUUUGAAACUCAGUUAAUCUUUGCAAAAAUGGCCACUUCAAUUUUCCUCUCACAUCCUCUUUUUCAUUUCCCUCCUUUAUCAUCAAAACACCAUAAAAUUCCAACUCCCAAACAAACCUCAGCCAUAAUAGCAUGCCAUCCCUCCAUCAAACACACCAAGAAACCAUUUUUCAACUCCCAUUUUCCAUUUCCUUACAAACCCAGAAAGGAAAUUUGGUCUAUUUCAGUGGGAAGAACACAAAUUGAUGAUAAAGAUGAAAUCUUGGUGGGGGAAGAUUCAGCUGAAUUCCAGUUAUCCAAACAAAAGAUUUCAUCUUGGGUUUAUUUUACUGGGAUUCUUGGUGUUGUUCUUUAUGUUCUUAAUGUUAUUUGGAUUGACAAUUCAACUGGUUUUGGAAAAUCAUUCAUUGAUGCUGUUUCAAGCAUUUCAGAUAGCCAUGAGUUGGAGAAAAGUACCAAAAGGUGAAAGUUCAAUAGAGUAUUUGAUUAAUGUGAUUCAAGAAUAUGAUCAAUCUGAACUUGGAGUUGAGGCAUUAGCUGCAUUUGCUCUUACUGGAAUGAAACCUCCACCAUUAGGCGAACAUGAGAUGUCAGUUGUCCCUUCAUUACCAGCAUCGUCACACAGGUCUAACAAACGCCUUGAUCAUUUGCGAACAAAUGCAAAGAAGGAUCAAGAUUUUGAUCAUAGUCUGAGAAGUCCCUGGAAUUCAUCUAAGUCUUGGAGUGCAAGCCACAGUGGAGUUCUUCAAACACUUGGAUUUUCUCCUGCUACACAGCGCGCGGAUCAUAGAAACCCAAAUCCGAUAAGUUCAUCUCCAGGUGACUUUGCCUAUACUAGUGAAAAUUAUCAAAGUACUACAACCCCUCACACUCAAAGUAGUGAAUGCACUCUCAACGAAAAUGAUUUUUUGACUCCAUAUGAUGCAGCCAACACCAAUACAUACCAAUAUCUUGGCCCCAAGUUUGCAAAUUCAUUCUUAUCAGAGACAUGGAUUCUCAUGAGAAGAAACUUUAUAAACAUCCGACGUACCCCUGAACUCUUCCUUUCUAGGCUUGUUGUGCUAACAGUCAUGGGAAUUAUGAUGGACACAAUGUUUAUGCAUCCAAAAGAAAACCUACAGGGGAUAACGGAUCGCCUUAGUUUCUUCAUCUUCACAGUUUGUCUGUUUUUUCUUUUCGUCUAAUGAUGCUGUCCCGGCUUUCAUUCAAGAACGUUUCAUCUUUGUCCGCGAGACAUCUCAUAAUAAGUAUAGAGCCUCUUCUUACACAAUUGCAGGUCUAGUCACUUGCCUUCCUUUCUUAGCUGUUCAAGCUGCAGUUUAUGCACUAAUUGUUUGGUUUGCACUAUCUCUUCGCGGACCAUUUAUAUACUUCUUGAUUGUUCUAUACAUGUCACUUCUGUCCACAAACUCUUUUGUUGUGUUUGUGAGUUCAGUGGUGCCAAAUUACAUAAUAGGAUAUGCUGUUGUUAUUGCUUUUACUGCUUUGUUCUUCUUGUUUUGUGGCUAUUUUUUAAAUAGCCAUGACAUGCCAUCAUAUUGGAAAUGGAUGAAUUAUAUUUCAAUUAUGAGUUAUCCAUAUGAAGGGCUACUUAUGAAUCAGUUUCAGACAUUAUGUUGGCAUGGGCUAUUUUAUACAGAGUCCUGUUUUAUAUUGUUCUCCGAUUCUUUUCGAAGAACCAGAGGACAUGAACUGCCACAACGAGAAGCAGUUAGAGGCGGAUUCAAGAUCUUAAGACUGUCAUUACUCUUUUGUAACAAUUGAUGUGAUCUUAAUAUUUUUUUUGAAAUUCUUAACAAUAUAAAUAUAGUUUCAAGCUAGCAGAAUUAUUUCCAAAAUAGUGAAUAACCUUCUUGGAAACUAGAUUAGUGGAUUGAUUGUAAGUGUAGACGGAUUUAGGAUAUAUUU